rnacentral:rRNA from 1 species
AGAGUUUGAUUCUGGCUCAGGAUGAACGCUGGCGGCGUGCUUAACACAUGCAAGUCGAACGGAGUUUUAAACAGAAGUUUCGGAUGAAGUUAAAAACUUAGUGGCGGACGGGUGAGUAACGCGUGGGUAACCUGCCUCAUACAGGGGGGAUAACAGUUAGAAAUGACUGCUAAGACCGCAUAAUAUAGCGAAACCGCAUGAUUUUGCUAUCAAAUAUUUAUAGGUAUGAGAUGGGCCCGCGUCUGAUUAGCUAGUUGGUGGGGUAAAAGCCUACCAAGGCGACGAUCAGUAGCCGGCUUGAGAGAGUGACCGGCCACAUUGGGACUGAGACACGGCCCAAACUCCUACGGGAGGCAGCAGUGGGGAAUAUUGGACAAUGGGGGAAACCCUGAUCCAGCCGACGCCGCGUGAGUGAAGAAGUAUUUCGGUAUGUAAAGCUCUAUCAGCAGGGAAGAUAAUGACAGUACCUGACUAAGAAGCCCCGGCUAACUACGUGCCAGCCGCGGC